AGUGAACGCUGGCGGUAGGCCUAACACAUGCAAGUCGAACGGAAGCACAGAGGAGCUUGCUCCUUGGGUGGCGAGUGGCGGACGGGUGAGGCAUACAUCGGAAUCUACUCUGUCGUGGGGGAUAACGUAGGGAACCUUACGCUAAUACCGCAUACGAUUUACGGGAGAAAGCACGGUAGCUUCGGGCCUUGCGCGAUGGAAUGAGCCGAUGGCGGAUUAGCUAGGUGGCGGGGUAAAGGCCAACCAAGGCGACGAUGCGUAGCUGAUCUUAGGAGAUGAUCGGCCACACUGGAACUGAGACACGGUCCAGACUCCUACGGGAGGCAGCAGUAGGGAAUAUUGGGCAAUGGGCGCAAGCCUGAUCCAGCCAUGCCGCGUGGGUGAAGAAGGCCUUCGGGUUGUAAAGCCCUUUUGUUGGGAAAGAAAACCAGCUGGCUAAUACGCGGUUGUGAUGACGGUACCUAAAGAAUAAGCACCGGCUAACUUCGUGCCAGCAGCCGCAGUAA
rnacentral:rRNA from 1 species